rnacentral:misc_RNA from 1 species
AAGUCGUAACAAGGUCUCCGUUGGUGAACCAGCGGAGGGAUCAUUACAGAGUUGCAAGACUCCCUAAACCCACUGUAAACCUACCUAUAUCGUUGCUUCGGCGGGCGGCCCCAGGGCGGGGUUCAGGCCUGUUACAGGUGCCCGCCGACGGCCGUCGUAAAACUCAGUUGUUAUUUACAGGUGCUCUGAGUCAAAUGACAAAAUCAGUCAAAACUUUCAACAACGGAUCUCUUGGUUCUG